rnacentral:tRNA from 1 species
GAUGUAUAGCAACAUAUUGCAUUUGGUUUCGACCCAAAAGAUGCCUAUAAGGCUACAUCUU